rnacentral:rRNA from 1 species
CAGUAGCCGCGGUAAUACAGAGGGUGCGAGCGUUAAUCGGAUUUACUGGGCGUAAAGCGUGCGUAGGCGGCUUCUUAAGUCGGAUGUGAAAUCCCUGAGCUUAACUUAGGAAUUGCAUUCGAUACUGGGAAGCUGGAGUAUGGGAGAGGAUGGUAGAAUUCCAGGUGUAGCGGUGAAAUGCGUAGAGAUCUGGAGGAAUACCGAUGGCGAAGGCAGCCAUCUGGCCUAAUACUGACGCUGAGGUACGAAAGCAUGGGGAGCAAACAGGAUUAGAUACCCGAGUAGUCCCUGUCUCUUAUAC